rnacentral:rRNA from 1 species
AACGAACGCUGGCGGCAGGCUUAACACAUGCAAGUCGAGCGCCCCGCAAGGGGAGCGGCAGCCGGGUGAGUAACGCGUGGGAACGUACCUUUUGGUUCGGAACAACUCCGGGAAACUGGAGCUAAUACCGGAUAAGCCCUAACGGGGAAAGAUUUAUCGCCGAAAGAUCGGCCCGCGUCUGAUUAGCUAGUUGGUGAGGUAACGGCUCACCAAGGCGACGAUCAGUAGCUGGUCUGAGAGGAUGAUCAGCCACACUGGGACUGAGACACGGCCCAGACUCCUACGGGAGGCAGCAGUGGGGAAUAAUGGACAAUGGGCGCAAGCCUGAUCCAGCCAUGCCGCGUGAGUGAUGAAGGCCUUAGGGUUGUAAAGCUCUUUUGUCCGGGAAGAUAAUGACUGUACCGGAAGAAUAAGCCCCAGCUAACUUCGUG